rnacentral:rRNA from 1 species
CCCUGAAGUGGAGGAUAAUCCCGGGAAACUGGGGUUAAUACUCCAGAGUUCGUGAUGACUGGAAUGUUUUGCGAACGAAAGAUCUGUCGCUUCUUGAUGAGUCUGCGGCCGAUUAGGUAGUUGUUGGGGUAACGGCCCAACAAGCCUGUCAUCGGUACGGGUUGUGGGAGCAAGAGCCCGGAGAUGGAUUCUGAGACACGAAUCCAUUUCCUACGGGGCGCAGCAGGCGCGAAAACUUUACCAUGCGGGCAACCGUGAUAAGGAAACGCCGAGUGCCAGCACAGGCUGGCUGUCCGCCAGUGUAAAUAACUGGUGAAGAAAGGGCCGGGCAAGACCGGUGCCAGACGACGCGGUAAUACCGGCGGCUCGAGUGGUGGCCACUAUUACUGGG